GCUACUCUUGACAGUGGGAUGACGAUA
rnacentral:piRNA from 1 species